rnacentral:rRNA from 1 species
GACGAACCGUGCGAACGUUGUUCGGAAUCACUGGGCUUAAAGGGCGCGUAGGCGGGUUCGAAAGUCUGUGGUGAAAGCCUCCAGCUUAACUGGAGAAGUGCCGUGGAUACUGCGAACCUGGAGGAGGGUAGGGGCAUCUGGAACGCUGGGUGGAGCGGUGAAAUGCGUUGAUAUCCAGCGGAACUCCGGUGGCGAAGGCGAGGUGCUGGACCCUUUCUGACGCUGAUGCGCGAAAGCCAGGGGAGCAAACGGG